GAUAAGGCUCUGUGCCCACAGCCAACCAUCUACUGCGUAGAUAAGCGACUGAAUUUCAAUUGGUUGAAAUAUGCGAGGAUUGUGUUUAAGUAACAAGUAAAAUGGCGAGCGCGUGAUUUACGUGCACUUAGCUAGCACUCACGUGCAUGGCAAAUAUAGCAAGUUGAAGGCAGCAAUAACAUUAGCAUCGAUAGCAAAAACAACAAACAGCUGACAAUGCCGCCAUUGCUGCCGUAGCUCACACAUUCGCUGCGACUGCUCUACACGCGGUCUCGGUUUCGGUAUCGGUUUUGACUCAUUCGCAAGCUUCGCGUGAGCUUUCGCUAGCAGUUUCGCUUCAAUGUUGGCCUUAAUUUAGUUGGUGCGCGUAUUUAGACCCUCACAGUUGUUACCGUUGCAUAUGAAACACGCAAACGUGCAACAGCAACACGACGAAUAACUAUACAAACCAAUAAGAACAAAAUAUUGUUGAAUUUUGUUUUUUUUUUCUAAGAGAGGAAGAAAGCUCCAAAUCAACAGAAAGUAUUGCGCACGCUAAGGUAAAGGCAGAGGCAAACGCAAACGCAAGUAAAACAACAAAUUCAAAAUCAGCUGAGAAACCGAUGCAGACGCAGCAGUAGCGGCAGCAUCAAGAGUAAGAUUAGCGAAACGUGAGUUCAAAUUGGCAUAAAGUGUACUAAAAAUCAAGGCGAAAAAAAAAAAAAAAAAAAAAAA
rnacentral:sRNA from 1 species